UACGUAGGUCACAAGCGUUGUCCGGAUUUAUUGGGCGUAAAGGGAGCGCAGGCGGCCAGUUAAGUCUGAUGUGAAAGCCCACGGCUCAACCGUGGAGGUGCAUUGGAAACUGAUUGGCUUGAGUACAGAAGAGGAAAGUGGAAUUCCAUGUGUAGCGGUGAAAUGCGUAGAUAUAUGGAGGAACACCAGUGGCGAAGGCGACUUUCUGGUCUGUAACUGACGCUGAGGCUCGAAAGCGUGGGUAGCAAACAGGAUUAGA
rnacentral:rRNA from 1 species